GCCUUUCGAAAGAAAGAUUAAUACCCGAUAGCAUAAUGAUUCCGCAUGGUUUCAUUAUUAAAGGAUUCCGGUAAAGGAUGGGGAUGCGUUCCAUUAGGUUGUUGGUGAGGUAACGGCCCACCAAGCCUUCGAUGGAUAGGGGUUCUGAGAGGAAGGUCCCCCACAUUGGAACUGAGACACGGUCCAAACUCCUACGGGAGGCAGCAGUGAGGAAUAUUGGUCAAUGGGCGUUAGCCUGAACCAGCCAAGUAGCGUGAAGGAUGAAGGCUCUAUGGGUCGUAAACUUCUUUUAUAUAAGAAUAAAGUGCAGUAUGUAUACUGUUUUGUAUGUAUUAUAUGAAUAAGGAUCGGCUAACUCCGUGCCAGCAGCCGCGGUAAUACGGAGGAUCCGAGCGUUAUCCGGAUUUAUUGGGUUUAAAGGGAGCGUAGGUGGACUGGUAAGUCAGUUGUGAAAGUUUGCGGCUCAACCGUAAAAUUGCAGUUGAUACUGUCAGUCUUGAGUACAGUAGAGGUGGGCGGAAUUCGUGGUGUAGCGGUGAAAUGCUUAGAUAUCACGAAGAACUCCGAUUGCGAAGGCAGCUCACUGGACUGCAACUGACACUGAUGCUCGAAAGUGUGGGUAUCAAACAGG
rnacentral:rRNA from 1 species